GACACAUCAUGUUGAAACAACGGUUUCCGUGCGAUCAUCGAAGUUAAGCAACGUCAAGCCAGGUCAGCACCUAGAUUGGUGACCGCUUGGUAAUACCAGGUGUUGCAAG